rnacentral:rRNA from 1 species
GUAGUUAGCCGGGGCUUUCUUACAGGGUACCGUCACUUCUUCGUCCCCUGCGACAGAGGUUUACAAUCCGAAAACCUUCUUCCCUCACGCGGCGUUGCUGGGUCAGGCUUGCGCCCAUUGCCCAAUAUUCCCCACUGCUGCCUCCCGUAGGAGUCUGGACCGUGUCUCAGUUCCAGUGUGGCCGAUCAGCCUCUCAGCUCGGCUACCCAUCGUCGGCUUGGUGGGCUGUUAUCUCACCAACUACCUAAUGGGACGCGAACCCCUCUAAAAGCGAUAAAUCUUUGACCUCUUCCCGAUGCCGGGUUGUGGUCUUAUGCGGUAUUAGCAGUUGUUUCCACCUGUUAUUCCCCACUCUUAGGCAGGUUGUUCACGCGUUACUCACCCGUGCGCCACUAGAAUUAUCAAUUCCAUCCGAAAACUUCCUUAAUAAUCCCCGUUCGACUUGCAUGUGUUAGGCACGCCGCCAGCGUUCGUCCUGAGCCAGAAUCGAACCCUCGA